rnacentral:rRNA from 1 species
GAUCCUACGGGGGGCAGCAGUGGGGAAUAUUGCACAAUGGGGGAAACCCUGAUGCAGCAACGCCGCGUGAGUGAAGAAGUAUUUCGGUAUGUAAAGCUCUAUCAGCAGGGAAGAAGAUGACGGUACCUGACUAAGAAGCCCCGGCUAACUACGUGCCAGCAGCCGCGGUAAUACGUAGGGGGCAAGCGUUAUCCGGAUUUACUGGGUGUAAAGGGAGCGUAGACGGACUUGCAAGUCUGAUGUGAAAAUCAGGGGCCCAACCCCGGAACUGCGUUGGAAACUGUAUAUCUAGAGUGUCGGAGAGG